rnacentral:rRNA from 1 species
GAUGAACGCUGGCGGCGUGCCUAAUACAUGCAAGUCGAGCGAACAGACGAGGAGCUUGCUCCUCUGACGUUAGCGGCGGACGGGUGAGUAACACGUGGAUAACCUACCUAUAAGACUGGGAUAACUUCGGGAAACCGGAGCUAAUACCGGAUAAUAUAUUGCACCGCAUGGUUCAAUAGUGAAAGACGGUUUUGCUGUCACUUCUAGAUGGAUCCGCGCCGCAUUAGCUAGUUGGUAAGGUAACGGCUUACCAAGGCAACUAUGCGUAGCCGACCUGAGAGGGGGAUCGGCCACACUGGAACUGAGACACGGUCCAGACUCCUACGAGAGGCAGCAGUAGGGAAUCUUCCGCAAUGGGCGAAAGCCUGACGGAGCAACGGCGCGUGAGUGAUGAAGGUCUUCGGAUCGUAAAACUCUGUUAUUAGGGAAGAACAAAUGUGUAAGUAACUAUGCACGUCUUGACGAUACCUAAUCAGAAAGCCACGGCUAACUACGUG